GUAGGGUCCGAGCGUUGUCCGGAAUUAUUGGGCGUAAAGGGCUCGUAGGCGGUUUGUCACGUCGGGAGUGAAAACUCAGGGCUCAACCCUGAGCGUGCUUCCGAUACGGGCAGACUAGAGGUAUGCAGGGGAGAACGGAAUUCCUGGUGUAGCGGUGGAAUGCGCAGAUAUCAGGAGGAACACCGGUGGCGAAGGCGGUUCUCUGGGCAUUACCUGACGCUGAGGAGCGAAAGCAUGGGGAGCGAACAGGAUUAGAUACCCUGGUAGUCCAUGCCGUAAACGUUGGGCGCUAGGUGUGGGGUCCUUCCACGGACUCCGUGCCGCAGCUAACGCAUUAAGCGCCCCGCCUGGGGAGUACGGCCGCAAGGCUA
rnacentral:rRNA from 1 species